UACGUAGGGUGCAAGCGUUGUCCGGAAUUAUUGGGCGUAAAGAGCUCGUAGGCGGUCUGUCGCGUCGGCUGUGAAAACCCGAGGCUCAACCUCGGGCCUGCAGUCGAUACGGGCAAACUAGAGUACUGCAGGGGAGACUGGAAUUCCUGGUGUAGCGGUGAAAUGCGCAGAUAUCAGGAGGAACACCUAUAGCGAAGGCAGCUUGCUGGGACGUUACUGACGCUAAGGCGCGAAAGCGUGGGGAGCGAACAGG
rnacentral:rRNA from 1 species